GAACUGAUGUAUCUCCAAUGUCAUAACGACUCUCGGCAACGGAUAUCUCGGCUCUCGCAUCGAUGAAGAACGUAGCGAAAUGCGAUACUUGGUGUGAAUUGCAGAAUCCCGUGAACCAUCGAGUUUUUGAACGCAAGUUGCGCCCGAAGCCAUUCGGCCGAGGGCACGUCUGCCUGGGCGUCACGCAUCGCGUCG
rnacentral:rRNA from 1 species